rnacentral:rRNA from 1 species
UACGAAGGGGGCUAGCGUUGCUCGGAAUUACUGGGCGUAAAGCGCACGUAGGCGGGUUGUUAAGUCGGGGGUGAAAUCCUGGAGCUCAACUCCAGAACUGCCUUCGAAACUGACGAUCUUGAGUUCGGGAGAGGUGAGUGGAACUGCGAGUGUAGAGGUGAAAUUCGUAGAUAUUGGGAAGAACACCGAUGGCGAAGGCAGCCAUCUGGACCGACACUGACGCUGAGGCGCGAAAGCGUGGGGAGCAAACAGG